rnacentral:rRNA from 1 species
AACGAACGCUGGCGGCAUGCCUAACACAUGCAAGUCGAACGAGACCUUCGGGUCUAGUGGCGUACGGGUGCGUAACGCGUGGGAACCUGCCCUUAGGUUCGGAAUAACUCCCUGAAAGGGGUGCUAAUACCGGAUAAUGUCUUCGGACCAAAGGUUUAUCGCCCUUGGAUGGGCCCGCGUUGGAUUACCUAGUUGGUAGGGUAAAAGCCUACCAAGGCGACGAUCCAUAGCUGGUCUGAGAGGAUGGUCCGCCACACUGGGACUGAGACACGGCCCGGAAUCCUACGGGAGGGAGGAGUGGGGGAUGUUGGAAAGUGGGCGGAAGGCUGAAGCAGCUAUGACCGGAAAGUGCUGAAGGCAUUAGGGUUGUAAAGCUCUUUUAACCGAGAUGAUAAUGACGGUACCGGGAGAAUAAGCUCCGGCUAACUCCGUG